GCUGGGCAUGGUGGCGUGUACCUGUAGUCUCAGCUACUUGGAAGGCUGAGGCAGGUGGAUUGCUUGAGGCCAGGAGUUUGAGGCUGCAGUGAGCUAUCAUAGUACCACUGUGCUCCAGCCUGGGUGACAGAGUGAGACCCUGUCUCUU
ensembl:misc_RNA Metazoa_SRP Metazoan signal recognition particle RNA